rnacentral:rRNA from 1 species
AACGAACGCUGGCGGCAUGCCUAACACAUGCAAGUCGAACGAGACCUUCGGGUCUAGUGGCGCACGGGUGCGUAACGCGUGGGAACCUGCCUUUAGGUUCGGAAUAACUCAGAGAAAUUUGAGCUAAUACCGGAUGAUGUCUCCGGACCAAAGAUUUAUCGCCUUUAGAUGGGCCCGCGUUGGAUUAGCUAGUUGGUGGGGUAAAGGCCUACCAAGGCGACGAUCCAUAGCUGGUCUGAGAGGAUGAUCAGCCACACUGGGACUGAGACACGGCCCAGACUCCUACGGGAGGCAGCAGUGGGGAAUAUUGGACAAUGGGCGAAAGCCUGAUCCAGCAAUGCCGCGUGAGUGAUGAAGGCCUUAGGGUUGUAAAGCUCUUUUACCCGAGAUGAUAAUGACAGUAUCGGGAGAAUAAGCUCCGGCUAACUCCGUG